AUGAGGCCAACUUAUGCCAUCCCUCUCUGUUCAAACACUCAGCUCCUGACCCAUCAUGGCAUGACAGCCUUCUUCCCUUUUAAUAUAUCUCGGAACUUAUGUACUUAUGAAGACAGCUGUGUAGGUAAGAUGUGCCCUCAGUGGUGUUCACAAGACAGGAGAGGCACAGAUGGAAGAAAAUCUAAGGACCAUUGCAGACCACUCUCCAGAGGGGGCUCCUGCGUAAAGACAGUCUGCCCACCGCAAGACGUCAGCUUUUACACACACUCCCCAUUGACGACCAGCUCCCCAGAGGCCAAGCCCCUGGACUCUGGAAAACUGCAUGCGCCAUCCCCCCGCCAGGUGCUGCGUGCUCAGACUUCUACCUCUGCAGAACCCCAAGGCUGUGUGAACCCGAAGUUUCAUAAUAAUGAAUAAUGAUAAUGUGGGCUUCGUGCCAGCUGAGUACACUGAAGGUGACCCUGACAUUUGGAAGGCAGAAUCCUUUCCCUGCUACCAGGUGAGACAAUUCGGACUGAAGAGUCAGCUGUGACCCGUAAGUCAUCGCUUUUGGAUGGGCACCUCCUGGGGGAUCCACCUAUUCCCAACUUGAACCGCAUCUCUGGCCCUGGAAGUGCCACUAGCAAGAUGCUGCUGGGCUCGGCCAGGGCUUCAGCACCCUCUUGUGGCCAUUCUCUCUAAUGACAAGCCAGAGACCUGCCUCCUGCCUCCUGAACAGAGUUCCUGGAUGGAGGGCACUGGGCUUGUGCACCCAAUAGUCAGUUUAAUCCCUCCUCUCACCCUAAGAACCACCAAGUGUAUUCCAGGAGGGUUAUUUUUCUCUCCAAAUCAGCCCUGGCCCUCACUCCUCCCAAACAUUCCUCACUCCUCUAAGUCACUGAGACGAACCCAGUACAAAACCAGGUGACCAGACCUCAGUGGAUCAGCCUCCCAUCUCCACUUCUGGGACUUGGUAUGAGGUAAUAUUUUCUGCCUCAGGGGUGAACCUGAGGAGGGGAGAGGCUGAGAUGGAAGGAAAAGAAGAAACUUUUCAGAGAACCUUCAAGAGAUGAGUCUUGGAGUUCCUGUCAUGGCUCAGUGGCUAACGAAUCCGACUAGGAACCAUGAGGUUGCAGGUUCGAUUCCUGGCCUUGCUCAGUGGGUUAAGGAUCCGGUGUUGCCGUGAGCUGUGGUGUAGGUUGCAGAUGCAGCUCAGAUCCUGUGUUGCGGUGGCUCUGGCAUAGGCCUGUGGCUACAGCUCCGAUUGGACCCCUAGCCUGGGAACCUCCAUAUGCUGUGAGAAGUGGCAAAAGACAAAAAAAAAAAAAGAGAGAGAGAGAGAGAUGAGUCUCUGGGACAGACACAGCAUGCGGGGAGAGCAAGGAACCACUGCUUUUGCACUUUCCAUUCACGACCCCUCACCAGCUGUCCAGGGGAC
rnacentral:lncRNA from 1 species